rnacentral:rRNA from 1 species
CGGGGGGCAGCAGUGGGGAAUAUUUGACAAUGGGCGAAAGCCUGAUCGAGCAAUGCCGCGUGAGUGAUGAAGGCCUUAGGGUUGUAAAGCUCUUUUAGUAGCUAAGAUAAUGACGCGCUACAGAAAAAGUCCCGGCUAACUUCGUGCCAGCAGCCGCGGUAAUACGAAGGGGGCUAGCGUUACUCGGAAUUACUGGGCGUAAAGCGUGCGUAGGCUGUUUUGUAAGUUGGUAGUUAAAUUCUCGAGCUCAACUCGAGGCCUGCUAUCAAAACUGCAAGACUAGAGUGUCGGAAAAGAUAGUGGAAUUCCUAGUGUAGAGGUGAAAUUCAUAGAUAUUAGGAGGAACACCAGAAGCGUAAGCGACUAUCUAGCCGAAUACUGACGCUGUUGCACGAAAGCGUGGGGAGCAAACAGGAUUAGAUACCCCGGU